ensembl:lncRNA
UGUGAGGUGUGUGUGGUGUGUGUGGUGUGUGAGGUGUGUGAGGUGUGUGUGGUGUGUGUGGUGUGUGAGGUGUGUGAGGUGUGUGAGGUGUGUGUGGUGUGUGUGGUGUGUGUGAGGUGUGUGGUGUGUGUGGUGUGUGAGGUGUGUGUGGUGUGUGCUGUGUCCACGUGCAGCAGCACUGUGGAGCGGUGUCCUAGGGCGGGUGGAACAGGAGAUCCUGUCCCCCCAGCAGCUGCUGGGCCCCCCGGGUUCCCGCUCCUCGGGCGUUGGCGGUAAUGGCGGCGGCGGUGGUGGCAGGGGCUGGGGGCCGCCGCCCGCCCCGGGUGCUCAGCUGAGCCUCCUCUCGGUGCACCCGGCGAGCAGGGCGCGGAGUCGAGACGCGGGGAGGCUGAGCCACGGCUGCGGCCAGAGUCAGAGUUGGACAGCCGGGCAAGGAGGGUCCGGCCUCGGGCAGAAGGCUGGGCCCCCAGGAACGCCCCCGGAGGAGGGCGGGCACGGCCGUGGUGCACCGAGGCAGACGCGCUCUCCCAGCCCUGGGUGCCCUGAUCCCGGGGACCCUGGCCCUCGGGGGUGCGGCCCGGGAAGGGCAGGGGCAGAGGUCCAGCCCUCGCAGCUCGUCCGCCCUCCCCAG